rnacentral:rRNA from 1 species
GAUGAACGCUGGCGGCGUGCCUAAUACAUGCAAGUCGAGCGAACAGAUAAGGAGCUUGCUCCUUUGACGUUAGCGGCGGACGGGUGAGUAACACGUGGAUAACCUACCUAUAAGACUGGGAUAACUUCGGGAAACCGGAGCUAAUACCGGAUAACAUAUUGAACCGCAUGGUUCAAUAGUGAAAGGCGGCUUUGCUGUCACUUAUAGAUGGAUCCGCGCCGUAUUAGCUAGUUGGUAAGGUAACGGCUUACCAAGGCAACGAUACGUAGCCGACCUGAGAGGGUGAUCCGACACACUGGAACUGAGACACGGCCCAGACUCCGACGGGAGGAAGCAGUAGGGAAUCUUCCGCAAUGGGCGAAAGCCUGACGGAGCAACGCCGCGUGAGUGAUGAAGGUCUUCGGAUCGUAAAACUCUGUUAUCAGGGAAGAACAAAUGUGUAAGUAACUGUGCACAUCUUGACGGUACCUGAUCAGAAAGCCCCGGCUAACUCCGUG